UGGGGAAUUUUGGACAAUGGGCGAAAGCCUGAUCCAGCAAUGCCGCGUGCAGGAUGAAGGCCUUCGGGUUGUAAACUGCUUUUGUACGGAACGAAAAAGCUCCUUCUAAUACAGGGGACCCAUGACGGUACCGUAAGAAUAAGCACCGGCUAACUACGUG
rnacentral:rRNA from 1 species